GAUGAACGCUGGCGGCGUGCCUAAUACAUGCAAGUCGAGCGAACAGACGAGGAGCUUGCUCCUCUGACGUUAGCGGCGGACGGAUGAGUAACACGUGGAUACCCUACCUAUAAGACUGGGAUAACUUCGGGAAACCGGAGCUAAUACCGGCUGAUAUAUUGAACCGCAUGGUUAAAUAGUGAAAGACGGUUUUGCUGUCACUUAUAGAUGGAUCCGGGCCGGAUUAGCUAGUUGGUAAGGUAACGGCCUACCAAGGCGACGAUGCGUAGCCGACCUGAGAGGACGACCAGCCACACUGGGACUGGGACACGGGCCCGACUCCUACGGGAGGCAGCAGUGGGGAAUUUUGGACAAUGGGCGGAAGCCUGAUCGAGCAAAGCCGCGUGGGGGAAGAAGGGCUUCGGGUUGUAAAACGCUUUUGAUAGGAAAGAAACAAUGUCCGAUAAAACCGGGCGCUAAUGACGGUACCUGAAGAAGAAGCACCGGCUAACUACGUG
rnacentral:rRNA from 1 species